AGAGUUUGAUCCUGGCUCAGGAUGAACGCUGGCGGUAUGCUUAACACAUGCAAGUCGAACGGGGUGCUUAGGCAUCUAGUGGCGGACGGGUGAGUAACGCGUGAGAAUCUGGCUCCAGGUCGGGGAUAACAGUUGGAGACGACUGCUAAUACCGGAUGUGCCGAGAGGUGAAAGAUUUAUUGCCUGGAGAUGAGCUCGCGUCUGAUUGGCUAGUUGGUGGUGUAAGGGACCACCAAGGCGUCGAUCAGUAGCUGGUCUGAGAGGAUGAUCAGCCACACUGGGACUGAGACACGGCCCAGACUCCUACGGGAGGCAGCAGUGGGGAAUUUUCCGCAAUGGGCGAAAGCCUGACGGAGCAAUACCGCGUGAGGGAGGAAGGCUCUUGGGUCGUAAACCUCUUUUCUCAAGGAAGAAGAAAGUGACGGUACUUGAGGAAUAAGCAUCGGCUAACUCCGUGCCAGCAGCCGCGGUAAUACGGAGGAUGCAAGCGUUAUCCGGAAUGAUUGGGCGUAAAGGGUCUGCAGGUGGAACUGAAAGUCUGCUGUUAAAGAGUUUGGCUUAACCAAAUAAAAGCGGUGGAAACUACAGAACUAGAGUGCGGUAGGGGCAAAAGGAAUUCCUGGUGUAGCGGUGAAAUGCGUAGAUAUCAGGAAGAACAC
rnacentral:rRNA from 1 species